rnacentral:rRNA from 1 species
UACGUAGGCGCAAGCGUUAUCCGGAAUUAUUGGGCGUAAAGAGCUCGUAGGCGGUUUGUCGCGUCUGCCGUGAAAGUCCGGGCUCAACUCCGGAUCUGCGGUGGUACGGGCAGACUAGAGUGAUGUAGGGGAGACUGGAAUUCCUGGUGUAGCGGUGAAAUGCGCAGAUAUCAGGAGGAACACCGGUGGCGAAGGCGGGUCUCUGGGCCGAUACUGACGCUGAGGAGCGAAAGCGUGGGGAUCAAACAGG